rnacentral:lncRNA from 1 species
CAUAAGAGUCGAUAUUUCGUUCUACGCUCGAUUUCCUUUAUCGCAGAUGGCGUAACCAUUUCCUGUAACAUUCUCGAGCUAUUCGAGAUGCAAGAUGCAACUACGCGAUCGGUCCGAGCAUCUGUUGUCAGGUGGUAAACGCGAAGGAAUCGCAAUCCUCCGGGGAUAGGCCAGUUUAAUUGGAAUUGAUGCUGCAAGCCCAGCGCUACAAUCGACACAGCUCUAACGCGCGUAACUAAUUAACACGCCGGAGAUAAUCCAAGUGAAUCGCGUCUAAGCAAUAGCUCCCCCGUGAUGUAGUCGAUCGUACCACAAUAGAGGUUAUGAGAGCGCCAGAAAUCGAACGUACCAAUUUAUCUCGUGAGCCGAUCUAUUCGAUCAGGACUAUGCGUUAUGUAUUCGCGAAGAUGUUUUGAUAUUGUACGAGGGGAAAAGCGAGCGGGAACAGACGAAUCGACCAGCAACGAGGGGAAACGUUCGCGUGGAUCGGGCCGCUGGUGGAGAUAACGAGCUGCGGUACGCGGAAAACAGGAAGUUGGCAUGAAAAAGUAGAUACAAAAUGAACUGUAGAUGCCACGAUAAGGUAUUACAGAAAUGAUGGAAAGAAGAAAGGAAAAAUUAAACGAUGACGAUGGCAGAGGAACAAACGAGAGAUGUAGCGGUGCGCUGGAAGUUAACAAGAAAAAUGGCUAGUUGUUUCUUGAAUCUUCCGCGGUAAUAGAUGACGGAGGAUUAAAUCCCAAGACUAUCCGGUUUAUCUUUUUGCUAGGUAAGUCGAGUCCCAUUUGUUUCCCUCGCCUAGGUGGAUUGAAUUCGCCAAGUUUAGUGUAGA